UACGGGGGGGGGCAAGCGUUGUUCGGAAUUACUGGGCGUAAAGGGCUCGUAGGCGGCCAACUAAGUCAGACGUGAAAUCCCUCGGCUUAACCGGGGAACUGCGUCUGAUACUGGAUGGCUUGAGAUUGGGAGAGGGAUGCGGAAUUCCAGGUGUAGCGGUGAAAUGCGUAGAUAUCUGGAGGAACACCGGUGGCGAAGGCGGCAUCCUGGACCGACAUUGACGCUGAGGAGCGAAAGCUAGGGGAGCAAACGGG
rnacentral:rRNA from 1 species